rnacentral:lncRNA from 1 species
UAGAGCUUAUUGUUCUAAACAUCGGUAAGGACCGGAAGGUGUUGAAUGAUCAAGUAUUUGCUAUCUUAGUCCUAAUGGCAUUGGUCACAACGUUUAUUACAACACCACUUUUGUUAGCGAUUUACAAGCCUGCGAGAAAAGGAGCACCUUACAAGCAUAGAACAAUACAAAGAAAGGACCAUGACUCCGAGUUGCGGAUACUCGCUUGCUUCCACAGUACACGCAACAUACCUACACUGAUCAACAUGAUAGAAUCAUCGAGAGGAACAGGGCUAAAGGGACGUCUCUGCGUCUACGCUAUGCAUCUAAUGGAGCUCUCUGAGCGGUCAUCAGCAAUUGCAAUGGUUCAUAAAGCGCGGUACAACGGCCUACCGAUCUGGAACAAGAUAGAGAGGUCCACGGAUCAAAUGGUGAUAGCUUUCGAAGGAUACCAGCAUCUCCGCGCAGUAGCGGUUAGACCGAUGACGGCAAUCUCGGAUCUCAGCACCAUCCACGAGGAUAUCUGCACGAGCGCGCACCAGAAACGAGUCGCGAUGAUUCUCCUCCCGUUCCACAAGCAUCAGAGGAUGGACGGAGCGAUGGAGUCGAUAGGACACGCGUUCCACGAAGUGAACAAACGCGUCCUACAACAAGCUCCCUGCUCCGUCGGGAUUCUUGUGGACAGAGGACUCGGAGGAGCGUCCCACGUCGUGGCCAGCGAAGUUGAUUACAAGAUCGUUGUCCCGUUCUUCGGAGGGUUAGACGACAGAGAAGCUUUGGCCUACGGGAUGAAGAUGGUGGAGCAUCCGGGGAUCACGCUGACCAUUCUCAAGUUCGUAGCUUCGAGAGGGACGUUGAAGAGGUUCGAGAAAGGUGAAGAGGAGGAAGAUGAGAAGAAGGAGAAAGAGAUUGACGAAGAUUUCGUUAGGGAGUUGAUGAACGAUCCGAGAGGGAAUGAGUCGCUGGCCUACGAGGAGAGAGUCGUUGAGAGUAAAGAAGAUGUUCGCGCGACUCUUAAGGCGACGAGCAAGUGUAAUCUGUUUGUUGUCGGGAGGAACGCUGCGGUUGUGCCGUUGGUUAAUAGUACGGACUGUCCCGAGCUAGGACCAGUUGGACGUUUGUUGUCGUCUUCGGAGUUUUCAACUACUGCGUCGGUGCUUGUUGUUCAGGGAUACGAUUCGGCGGCGGAUACACGGCCCGUGGUAGAGGAUGAUGAUUAUGAACAGUCUUCUAGAGAAAUUGGAGACUCAACGGUCUGAACGGAUCUAACUUAUUACAGAGCUUAAAGGAAAAGAAAAAAUGUCGUCUCUCUGUUUUUAUAUUUGCCUCACGAUAUAUUUUUGUUGGGACUUGGUCCUAAACUCUUAGACCCGAAAGACCCUUUUAAAACUAAAUAAAAAAUAAAAAUAAUAAAAUAAUAAGAAAACUUACCUUGGUUAUCGAGAUUGAGAGUAUCAGCAUUGCUGAUGCUCUUAGUUACCCUAUCUGCUGCAGGCUUGCAGCCUUUGUUUCCUUCUGAGAAGUAUGAGUGUAUAUUGUACCUAUGUUGACUUCUUUCUCUAUAACGUGGUCAGUUGUUCUUACUCCUUUUAUGCAUCUCAUGAAUGUUUAGAUAUUGUGUAUCUUAUAUCAUAUAUCCGAUCCAUAUACAUUGAUAUAAGUGAAAAUGGUUGAUGUUGAAGAAUAUAGCUCAACUUUUUUCAGGAGACAUGUACAAGAGCCGAGAGCCAGAGGCGUACUUAAUUUGUCAUGAGAAAGACAACUGUCUUAAACCCCAACUUAUAUAACACAUUUUAGAGGCUCCAUUUUAAUUCCACUUUAAAUUGGUUAUAUUGUAUAUAUAAAUUUCUCUUAGUUUUGGAUUUAAACAAUAAUUUAUUUAUGUUAUUUAUAUUUAUUUAAUUCUAUUUUAGACUUUUAGAUUUAAUUUAUCAUCUAUCUUCAUAAAACUAUUAUUUUAUUUAUUUAAAUUUUAGACUUUAAAUUAUAUUUUUUUAGCUUGUAUGAUUUUAUUUUUACUAUUGUAGUAAAACAUUUAGAAGCUUACCAUUUAACAUAUCUAAAUAAGCACAUAUUUAAUUAAACAAUUAUAAAAUCUUCAUAGAUAAUUUGAAAUCUUGCAUUUUUGGUUUAAUAAACUAUGCAUUUUGUAUUCUUUUAAGAAAUAAUAUUUUCAAUUUUUCAUAUGAAUCUAUAAAUAUAAAAUACAUGAUUUUUUGUAAAGUUUUAUGUAAUAGAUAUUUACUAAUUAUGAAAACUUUUUUACUCUAGCUUUAGGCCCCCAAAUACCUAGUCACGGCACUUACAAGAGCUUGUAAAUUUAGGACAAACAAAGACGAAAAUGUCGGCGUAGUCUAGGCAGUUAUGUGAGUAAGAGAUGCGAUUUGGUUGGAAGUUAAGUAACUGACAGUCUAUAAAUAGAAAAAAAUGCGAGGUGUAUGCUUACCCUGGAGUUGGUAUGUCCUGUUCAUUCUCGUCUUUCUAUUAUUAGCACUAUUGACAUUAUUAGUUUUCUGUUUCUCUCCUUUUAUAUCCUCACUUCUUGAAGUAGAUUAUGUUCAUGACACACAGAGACGUAGCAGAAUAGAUCUUGUUUCCUUUUCUCCUUACGCCCAAAGGCAAUGAGGGAGCAGCCAAGGCAUUAUUAAAAGUUGAAGCAGUGUUGCUUUCCUCGACCAAUCAUCAAGCCCAGGAAAGUUAUAUCUCGACUAGGAUGGCUACCCCCAACGCUACAGGUAACUGCCCGACUGCAAUGAAGGCUAGUUCUAAUGGAGCCUUCCAAAACGAAAACCCUCUUGAUUACGCGCUUCCUCUGAUCAUCCUACAGAUCUGCUUGGUGGUUGUGUUUACAAGGCUCUUAGCUUACCUUCUUAAACCUCUCAAACAGCCACGGGUCAUUGCUGAGAUCAUUGUAAGUCUCAUUCACAGGGUUGGUCUUGAGUCCAUACGUGAGAAACAUCCGUAUGGAGCCUACACUUUUUGUAGUUUUUAAGGUCAAUUUUUUCUUUGGUUGUUAGCAGAAAAAAUAUAAAUAGGAAUUCCGAAAACGUAUUUCAAACAAAUAACAAAAUAAAAUCUUGAAUAUUUUUCAUUAUUUAUAUGAAAAAACAAAGAGUUAAACUUUUAGAACUGGACAUAUAUUUGUUCGAAGGGUAAUGCAAUUUUUAAUUGCAAAUUUAAUUUUAAUUUUAGUUAAUUUUAUUUAUUAUUUAUGGCAUAUAUAUUUAGUUUUGUUUUGGAUCCGGAAUAUCUCAUGACCGGCACUUGCUCAUUCAAAUUCUUUGUAAUGUUUUUUUCCUUUAAAACGUUUUGUUGAUAAUAGAUGGUUUCUGUAGGGAGGGAUACUGCUUGGACCUACUGCUCUUGGACGAAGCAAGGUCUAUCUAGACACUAUCUUCCCAGAGAAGAGCAUGACGGUUUUAGACACACUUGCGAACAUCGGUCUUCUGUUCUUCUUGUUCCUAGUUGGGCUUGAGCUUGACUUUGCAGCCAUCAGAAAAACCGGAAAGAAGUCACUUUUGAUAGCCUUAGCUGGGAUCUCACUUCCUUUUGUAAUAGGUGUAGGUGCAUCUUUUAUUCUCAGCUCCACCAUAAGCAAAGGAGUCCAUCAGCUACCCUUUAUAGUCUUCAUGGGUGUUGCCUUAUCCAUCACUGCCUUCCCUGUGCUUGCUCGUAUCCUAGCUGAGCUAAAGCUUCUAACAACCGACGUUGGACGUAUGGCCAUGUCUGCAGCUGGAGUCAAUGACAUUGCAGCUUGGAUAUUCCUUGCACUCGCCAUUGCUCUCUCAGGAAAUGACAGUUCUUCUCUUGUACCUCUUUGGGUUCUCCUCUCUGGAUCCGGUUUUGUGAUCUUUGCUAUUUUGGUAAUCAAACCUAUCCUUGGCUUUAUGGCUAAACGCUGUCCUGAAGGAGAGCCUGUCAAGGAACUCUAUGUCUGCGUCACUCUGACAUUGGUUUUAGCAGCAAGCUUUCUGACAGACACUAUUGGGAUACACGCGCUGUUCGGCGCCUUUGUGGUUGGUAUAGUGACUCCAAAACAAGGACCGUUCUGUAGGAUCUUAACCGAGAAGAUAGAGGAUCUUGUCUCAGGGCUUCUUCUACCAUUGUACUUUGCGUCAAGCGGUUUAAAAACAGAUGUAACAACCAUCAGAGGUGCACAAUCUUGGGGACUUCUAGUUCUUGUUAUACUCACCACUUGUUUUGGUAAGAUUGUGGGAACCGUUGGAGCCUCUAUGCUAUGCAAGGUUCCCUUCAGAGAAGCUAUGGCACUUGGAGUACUAAUGAACACCAAAGGUUUAGUAGAGCUUAUUGUUCUAAACAUCGGUAAGGACCGGAAGGUGUUGAAUGAUCAAGUAUUUGCUAUCUUAGUCCUAAUGGCAUUGGUCACAACGUUUAUUACAACACCACUUUUGUUAGCGAUUUACAAGCCUGCGAGAAAAGGAGCACCUUACAAGCAUAGAACAAUACAAAGAAAGGACCAUGACUCCGAGUUGCGGAUACUCGCUUGCUUCCACAGUACACGCAACAUACCUACACUGAUCAACAUGAUAGAAUCAUCGAGAGGAACAGGGCUAAAGGGACGUCUCUGCGUCUACGCUAUGCAUCUAAUGGAGCUCUCUGAGCGGUCAUCAGCAAUUGCAAUGGUUCAUAAAGCGCGGUACAACGGCCUACCGAUCUGG